rfam:Homo sapiens chromosome X, GRCh38 reference primary assembly.
UUGUGAAGACUAUUUUCAAGGUUCAUUUCUAUAGUUCACUACUGGAGAAGUUUCUCUGAACAUGUGGAACACCAGGAAACAUGAGGAAGAAGCACAGCAUUCUCUCCUAAAUGUGAAGCCAGCUGUUGGUGUUGCUUUGCUAUAACUGCUAUUUGCCAUUGAUGAUUAUUUUCCUCUUCUUCCCAGAGAGUAAGAGGGAGAGGAUGCAGUCUGUGUGGU